GAUGAAGAACGCAGCGAAAUGCGAUACGUAAUGUGAAUUGCAAAUUCAGUGAAUCAUCGAAUCUUUGAACGCACAUUGCGCCCCUUGGUAUUCCAUGGGGCAUGCCUGUUCGAGCGUCAUUUGUACCUUCAAGCUUUGCUUGGUGUUGGGUGUUUGUCCAUUCUCUUGCAGAGGGACUCGCCUUAAAGUAAUUGGCAGCCAGUGUUUUGGUUUUGAAGCGCAGCACAAGUCGCGAUUCAACGCUAUACGCCAGCUUCCACAAGCCUUUUUCACUUUUGACCUCGGAUCAGGUAGGGAUACCCGCUGAACUUAAGCAUAUCAAUAAGCGGAGGA
rnacentral:misc_RNA from 1 species